GACAGAGGUUGCAAACGUUGUUCGGAAUUACUGGGCAUAAAGCGCACGUAGGCGGUCCGUUAAGUCAUGUGUGAAAUCCCCCGGCUCAACCGGGGAAUUGCGCCUGAUACUGGCGGGCUAGAGAUCGAUAGGGGUGAUCGGAACUCCAGGUGGAGCGGUGAAAUGCGUAGAUAUCUGGAGGAACACCGGUGGCGAAAGCGGAUCACUGGAUCGAAACUGACGCUGAGGUGCGAAAGCUAGGGUAGCAAACGGG
rnacentral:rRNA from 1 species